rnacentral:rRNA from 1 species
UACGUAGGGCGCAAGCGUUGUCCGGAAUCAUUGGGCGUAAAGCGCGCGUAGGCGGCUCUGCAAGUCCGUUGUGAAAGUCAAAGGCUCAACCUUUGAAAGCCGAUGGAUACUGCAGGGCUAGAGUCCGGAAGAGGCGAGUGGAAUUCCUGGUGUAGCGGUGGAAUGCGCAGAUAUCAGGAGGAACACCAAUAGCGAAGGCAGCUCGCUGGGACGGUACUGACGCUAAGGCGCGAAAGCGUGGGGAGCGAACAGG